rnacentral:rRNA from 1 species
UACGUAGGGUGCAAGCGUUGUCCGGAAUUAUUGGGCGUAAAGAGCUCGUAGGCGGUUUGUCGCGUCUGCUGUGAAAACUGGAGGCUCAACCUCCAGCCUGCAGUGGGUACGGGCAGGCUAGAGUUCGGUAGGGGAGACUGGAAUUCCUGGUGUAGCGGUGAAAUGCGCAGAUAUCAGGAGGAACACCGGUGGCGAAGGCGACUUCCUGGCCUGUUCUUGACGCUGAGGCGCGAAAGCUAGGGGAGCAAACGGG